CCUACGGGAGGCAGCAGUGAGGAAUAUUGGUCAAUGGCCGAAAGCCUGAACCAGCCAAGUCGCGUGCGGGAAGACGGCCCUACGGGUUGUAAACCUCUUUUGUCGGGGAGCAAAGCGAGUCACGUGUGACUCAUUGAGAGUACCCGAAGAAAAAGCAUCGGCUAAUUCCGUGCCAGCAGCCGCGGUAAUACGGAGGAUGCGAGCGUUAUCCGGAUUUAUUGGGUUUAAAGGGUGCGCAGGCGGAUGUGCAAGUCAGCGGUCAAAUUGCGGGGCUCAACCCCGUACUGCCGUUGAAACUGCAUCCCUUGAGUGCGCGAGAAGUAUGCGGAAUGCGUGGUGUAGCGGUGAAAUGCAUAGAUAUGACGCAGAACCCCGAUUGCGAAGGCAGCAUACCGGCGCGCAACUGACGCUCAUGCACGAAAGCGUGGGUAUCGAACAGGAUUAGAUACCCCAGUAGUC
rnacentral:rRNA from 1 species